AAACCAUGAUGAGGACACUUCUAGAGCAACCCAUUAAAUCUCUCCCAAGCUUCAUUGUAUUACUCAUCCUCCUUUUGUAAAAACUCAAAAAUUUCCUUACGAAUAU